AAAAGGGAGGAGCGGCAGGGGAUGGAGGGAAGGAAGAGCGGCGUGGGGAAGCGCUACGCGCCCGAGCGGCGGAGGGAGGGAGGGAGAGAAAGAGGCGGCGGUGGAACGCGCUCGGCUCCGUGGGCCGAAGGUCGGGCGAUGGAGGAGCACGGGGAGCCGUCUUACAGCGGCCGCAGCCCCGCCUGGGAGGAGCUGUGAAGUUGAACAACCCCCUUUGCUGCCCUCCGUGGUCCUCAGCUGAAGAUGUGGCCAGAGAUGCAGCUGUGAUAGGGAGCACAGCUGGAUGCGAGACGUUCCAGCAACAUGGAGCUGACAUCCACAAGCAGCGCUCAAAGGCAGACCCUCGAUUUUGCCUGGAGAGAUGAAAAUGCCGUGGGAGGAAAAGAACGAAUCCCGUUCCCCUGAACGUGUCGUCCUACUGAACAGUGACAUUUACACUGGCUGCCGAACUCAGCUGAAAGUCGGGAGGCUGACAGAUAGCAGCCCCUCCGUAUGGCUGGAGCAACCCAGCCCGCUCCCUUCUGGGUGCAGAUAAACACAGACAGAGCACUUCCUUUCUUCUUUUCCCCCCUCAAUCUCCUCCUCCCCCGAUAAAGGAGAGAAUUCGGGUCAUGUUUAUCGUUCCGUGUCUGCAUUUGUUCAGGGUACACACAUGAAUGCAGUUUUAAGGUUAACCACUGCAUUCGUUUCCUUUUACAAGCCUUCAAUUUCAGUCCAAGCACUCAGUCCUCUACCUGGUAACCUGCUGGUAAAACAGAGCAUCUUUGAGGCAAAACUGCAUAGUUCUUCACAUAGAUCAUAUCAAUCACCUUUUUCGACAUGGGCUUUGUCUUGAAAUAGGGACAAAGGGAGAUUUAGAUGAGGAAACUGCAUGGGGUAGGAAAAAUGUGCCCAGAACUCUCCUUCUCUCUGUUAACAUAGAAAAGGAGCAACAGGGUGAGAGAAACCAUUGCAGGUUUGGAAUUUGUGCACAGUGAUUACCUCUGCGAGUUGUCAGGUGAUGGUUAGGAGUGCUGUUAAGGUUGAGCUCGUCCAUGUGAAAUUUAGGAUAUCUAUAAAAUCCUGACCUUAAUUCCCAGCUCACUGUUGAACAGAGAACAUAUUCCCUCUUCAGUAAGAGCCAAACAGAAGUAUCAGCAUCAGGCUCAUCCUCUGUCCUUCAAAGGGACAUUCAGGGGCACUGCACUCCAGACCCACGCAAUCUAGGAAGUCCUAUAUCUUUCUUCCACAUCUCAUAUGGGACCCCAGCCUUCUCUUCACCUUUUGAGGUGGAGGAAAAAAACGUAUUAUGCUCCAGCUUACAGAUGCCAAAGUGACCUAGAGAAAAAGAGGUAAAUAUGCCUAUUAUGGUGGGAAUCGAUAUUAGAGCUGGAAGUAUUUCUGUUCCUGGAAUCAAAUGAUGCGUUAAUCUGCAUUAUAAGCCAUAAUCUGCAGAGCAGCUGGAGUGUGUGUGUAUUUGGGUUUUUGGUACAUCACAUAUGCUUUUUAGUGAUGUGUAUUCUAUUAUCAGCACUGGAAGCUGUUUGGUGGAAAGAAUCUUACAGUGCACAUAUUUACCCAGCACUUUGGAAUUCUUUGAAUAUAAAGGGCAGAUCAUCAGCUGAUAUUAAUUGCCGUGACACAAAUGAUGUCAGUGGGGCUGUUUUGUGUCAGUUGAGAAUCUCUCUUUCAGUGCCAACCUUUCUUUACUCUUUUCACCAGUUUCCCUUAGUAAAGAAAUUUCAGAGAAUUAUUAAGAAGUGUGAAAUUGAGUACGUGAAAGAUAUAAUUCACACGGGUAUCACGUGUGCUCUUCAGGAGCCUGACUGGAGGAUUAUUCUGGAGGAUUUCAGUGGUGCCACUCAUACCAUGGCAUCCAUACCUGUGUUCCCCAAGAUGCAAUCUUGGUGCUUCUCAUAUUGAGUCUAGCUUCAGCCAUUUGGGUAAGAUGUAGUGAUAGAGUCAGCUGGCAGUCCUCAUCCAAGGAAAGUCCCAGGGACACCUCAGGCAGCAUUACCUGGGUAAAGACCAGAGCUGGAUCAUAAGCAUGUAUUAACUCCUUUAAAAAAACAGAACAAGUGGGAAGCACUGAGAGCUUUAAAUCUUUCCUUGUGCAUGGAAGAAAAUAUGUAUAACAACUUUAUACAUGAAUGCAAAUGAAUAACUCUUUUAUACUUCAUACAGCACAGCGUUUGGCUGGUGUUAACACCAAACUCGUUUGGUUUUCUCUGUUUUGAGGAACACUGAAAACUUUAGUUGGCGGUGGAUUUUAGCACUUAUGAUUUUACAAAUGCGUACUUUGUAGAUCCUGUAUUCACCUCAGACUGUACUUGUGGGGCGUUUCUGUUAUUUGCUGAGUUUGGUUGCUCCCACUGAAUUCUCCACCUUAAGUGAGAAAAUGUUUCCAGUGCUUCAGUUCUGAAGUUCAUCGAGACAAAGUGGAAGAGACUUGAGUCGAAGUGACAGGCACCCAGUGCCCUCUCCCUUGUCGCUGGAACUGGAUGGCCUUUAAGAUUCCUUCUAACCCAAGCCCAUUUCAUGAUUCAGUGUUUUUUGGGUUUGGGCAGCCAGUGGAGAGGAGGGUGACAAUCCGUGUGGGGAUGGAUGACACCCUUUGCAUGAUGCACUGUGCAGGAGCUAGGGCUCACAGUUAAGCUCUGAAUGUGAACAGAAGCUGGAGAGCCAUGUUUAUUGUCCAUUUGCAUUGCCCAUUUCACCUACAGACACUCAUUUAACAGCAUCUGAAAUGAAGUGUAGUGAAGGAAACCUGAGCUGUCUAUGCAGAUACCUAAGGAGAUCUGCAGCAGACAAGUUACAUUUUAUGUAAAAAAAAAUCUCCCAAUUGCAAACCUCAGGUCACCAAUUGAGCCAACUUUGUGACCUCCCUAAAUUCAAAGAUGUUCAUCCGGAAUUGUGGUUAAUGUUUCUCCUUUUCACCUUAAUUCUGGAAGGUGGGUGAAAUGCCUGCUUGUAAACAAUUUUGCACUCAGCUUUGCACAGGAUCCCAGUCAUGUGGUGAGACACAGCUGUCACAUGUACCGAUAUUUUGAAUGCUUUUUUAGCAUGGGAACAAAUUUAACAGUAAUAGUGUUGUUCAUCUAAGCGCUGCUUAAUUCAGUUGAAUUAAAUGGAAUCAGUGAGCGUUGUAUUCUGUUAGCACCCAGUGUUCCUCAAAUCGCAGUCCCAGCCCUAUGCAAACUACAUUAGCAUUAAUUAGCUCACUGUCUUGUCACCUAGUUGCAGUGUUCAGUUGUCAUUUACCUUCACAAGGCUCUGCUAGCUGCAGUGAGUGAACCACGUUCUGAGGUAAUUUGCUGUUCUGAAGUUGCUGGGGAGGAGGAAGAGGAAGGAAGGCAGCUGGGGUGACUAAAUGUCUGUAAGCUUCUCUCUUGCCCUUUCUUCUUAUCUGUGUCCUAAGUGAAUUUAGUGCACACUUGCUCUUGCCCAAGUUUUUAUCUUACAUUUUUGAGAAAGAACUCUUUCAGGGGAAGAAUGAGACAAGUGAGGAAAAGGAGCCACGCAAGAACUUCAUCUAGUUUCAGAUGUGGUAUUGCUGGUAGGACUUAGGCCCAGUUAUUACUGUAAUAAGAAACACGGGUAUUCACGAUUCCUUUAAAACGUACCCUAAAAGAAGUGAUCCUACAUAGAGGAGGGCCAUAGAACCUCAUGGAAAUGCCUGAUUUGGUGACACGUGGGAUACAACACGUGUGGAUUCAUGCAGAUCUUUCAUUUCACCUACUAGAAAUGAAAGUCCCAAUGAGGGAAAUGGGAUAUUCCAGUGUACGAAAUCCAACUCACAGCACGGUGUUCGCAGCAUAGGAUGGGCUCUGUGUUACGGUUUCGCUUUUGUUUCUCAUUUGUUGUUUGCUCUGUAUUUUGGUACUGUGGCACUUGUAUUAGCUCAUUGAGAGAUGGAAGUUCCCUUUUGAGAAAUAUAAAUAGAAUUGCGGGAACAGAGAA